rnacentral:rRNA from 1 species
GCAGUCGAGGGGUAUAGGUUUUCGGACCUAGAGACCGGCGCACGGGUGCGUAACGCGUAUGCAAUCUACCUUUUACAGAGGGAUAGCCCAGAGAAAUUUGGAUUAAUACCUCAUAGUAUUACGACUCGGCAUCGAGAUGUAAUUAAAGUCACAACGGUAAAAGAUGAGCAUGCGUCCCAUUAGCUUGUUGGUAAGGUAACGGCUUACCAAGGCUACGAUGGGUAGGGGUCCUGAGAGGGAGAUCCCCCACACUGGUACUGAGACACGGACCAGACUCCUACGGGAGGCAGCAGUGAGGAAUAUUGGUCAAUGGGCGCAAGCCUGAACCAGCCAUGCCGCGUGCAGGAUGAAGCAUCUAUGGUGUGUAAACUGCUUUUGUACGAGAAGAAACACUCCUACGUGUAGGAGCUUGACGGUAUCGUAAGAAUAAGGACCGGCUAACUCCGUGCCAGCAGCCGCGGUAAUACGGAGGGUCCAAGCGUUAUCCGGAAUCAUUGGGUUUAAAGGGUCCGUAGGCGGUUUAGUAAGUCAGUGGUGAAAGCCCAUCGCUCAACGGUGGAACGGCCAUUGAUACUGCUAAACUUGAAUUAUUAGGAAGUAACUAGAAUAUGUAGUGUAGCGGUGAAAUGCUUAGAGAUUACAUGGAAUACCAAUUGCGAAGGCAGGUUACUACUAAUGGAUUGACGCUGAUGGACGAAAGCGUGGGUAGCGAACAGGAUUAGAUACCCUGGUAGUCCACGCCGUANACGAUGGAUACUAGCUGUUCGGAGCAAUCUGAGUGGCUAAGCGAAAGUGAUAAGUAUCCCACCUGGGGAGUACGUUCGCAAGAAUGAAACUCAAAGGAAUUGA